GGACAGGCAGGAAGCAGUUGGUAUUAGGGCUGUCCUGGAAUUCUUGUGGGCAAAGUGGAGGAAAACAAAUUCAGUAAGGAUGAAAGAGAAUGAACUCAUUUCUCAGAAUUAAAGGUGAACCGAAAGAAAUUGGCAGCUGUCUGGACUUGCCAGCCAGGGAGGCCAUGGUGUCAGAUACACGUGACAGAUCCAGAGACAAGGCAACACUCCCUAAACAGCUCCCAGGAAGGGCUUGCCAGGAAGCCAGAUGCCGCUUCUGGAAGACUGUCUUCCGUGGCUGGGCAUCUGGGUUCAGCGCUUUCCAUUUACAGAGGAGAAAGGUGGUGGCAAGUGGCAGCCCGUCGCUGCCCUUCCAAAAAGUGCUGUUUAUAAGUGUGAGAAACGCACACCGCGGCAUCAGGGGAUUUUGACACGGCGCUUGUUUUCAAAGACACCGUUGAAGGAUGCAGCACCCCCCUGGCUUUGCAGACAGAAAGCAACACAGCAAGAGAAAGGAGGGAGGAAGAACAAGAAGACUGUCACAGUUCUGCUGAGGCUCCUGUGACCAUCAGGGCGUUCUCAUCUCUUACGGUGCCUUAGGGGGUUUUAUCUGAGUGACUGGGGUGAUACAUGGUCACAAUUAGGGGAACUGAAUGAAGGACAGUGCCUCUCCAGGCUGUAUCCCCGGCAUGUUCUUCUGCCCCGGGGAAACACGGUUGAGUAUUGGUGUUGGCAGGAGAGCGCAGUGUGCGCUGGGAGACUGGAAAUAAGGUGACUUGAGGUCUGGGUGAUUUUUUUUUCUCCUUCCACUUUGAAGUUUACUGUCUUUGAUGCGCAGCAUUACACAAACCCCAUUUGUUUAUCCGACAAAAGAGAGAGCAAGCUUUGUAAUUAGGAGUCUUCAUUCUUUCAUUCAUGCCUUGCUUUUAUUCAUAUUUUCUUUCUCACCCCCAAUCUCUCUUUUCUCUCUCCCUCUCUCCCUCUUUUAUUCUCCCCUUUCUUCACCUGAUACUUAAUAUUUGACAAUAGUAUGAAGUCUUUUGAAAUUGAAAAGCGUGAUCCAUAGCGAAGUUGGGAUUGAUACAACAGGAGCUGGGACUGACAAAUUCCCUCACGUGAGUGACCUUGGAAUACUCUGUCCUAAAAGACCUGUCACCAUCAAAUCUCUUGCCUCCAGGAUCAGGGGACUCUGGAAGAGGAGGUGGGAAGAGCGUAAGAGCCAAAAGGGAUGGAGGACACCAAGGACCCAAGGCCUCUGGACACAGUGGGAGCGGCACACCUAUGCACUCACGGAGCCUGAGGCAGUAUGCCCAGGGCUUGCACCAGAUGUGGUCCGAGAGCUGAAGAAAGACGUGGGCACAUGGCCCCCAUCCCUAAGUCAGGAGCUAUCUCCAAUUGGUAACCACUUGCAAAGGAAAAAUUAGUUUUCCCUAAGAAAACAAACCUCUCUUAAGGGCAGGCCCCCAGCCCAGCAAUUGACACAAACGGAAAUGAACUUGAAGGCAUCUGUGGAGAUUAUUGUCUCAUUACGGACAAGUCCAAGAAUCGUGAUGAAGAAGAAUACGGCUAAAAUUUUUAUUUCUCAGAGGCCAGUAUCUCUGUGGGGUGAACCUUGGUUCACAACAGAAGACAGCCAUAAAAGGGGCAGAACAAAUGAAAAAUACCCAUAGCCUGCAAAUCUUUGGCUAUCAGGUGUUGUGGUUGGGUGGAAGACCAAAGUGUACAGAAAGAGAGUGCAGUUCCAGGAGACAGCACAGAAAAAUACGUCCUGUUCCAAAGCACAGGAGACCAGAGCAGUCCGACGCCUGCAUGGGCAGAAGUGAGUCACACCCGCGAUGUUCCUGAGGACCAGACGGAAGAGAGAAGGAGGUCCCUGGUUUUGAAGUACAUGUUUAUCCGUAUCUAACCUCCACUGGGGAUCAGAAAUGCCCACAGUGCCAUUGUAAAGAACUGGUGGACACAUUGUUUCCUCGAUGGUUUCCACACCCAACCCUCCUACUUCUAGGUCAUCAUCAUUUACGUUGCCGCAGAUAGGCUUUUGCAGAAUAUUUCAUUUAAUAUCCAUAAAGACCACAAUGGCUUUGAAUAUCAGUUCUCUCUCACAAAGUAGCCACAGCUCCACAGUUGCUCCUUUUAACACGGCAUUCAACUGGCAUGCUUCCCUGAGAUCUGCCUGUUCGCUGAAAACGUUUAUUUUUUUUUUUCACUUUGGAAAUCUAUGAACUAUUUUCUAAGAGUCAAUGCAAAAGGGAAGAUUUUAAAACUCUCCUUUUAAUCUAGUUUAUAAUGUGCAAAUCUCCCCCAAGAAAACUUAUUUGCAUCUAAAAGUUAGCAGCAAUUAUAUUCUUGUAAGGAUAUUUUAAAGAAAUGCUUGAAUUCUAGUCUUUCUUUCUUUCUUUCUUUCUUAUUCAUUCAUUCAUUCAUUCAUUCAUUCAUUCAUUCAGCUGGAGAUUAACUCAGGGUCUUAGGUAGGAUCCUCCAGUACUGGAAUUUAUUGUUAAAAAUACCCAUUUCUGAGAAAUUUUUACUUUUCCUGCAUAAUGUGUACCUAGGUGAGAAUUAA